UACGUAGGGUGCGAGCGUUAAUCGGAAUUACUGGGCGUAAAGCGUGCGCAGGCGGUUUUGUAAGCCAGAUGUGAAAGCCCCGGGCUUAACCUGGGAAUGGCAUUUGGGACUGCAAGGCUUGAGUGCGGCAGAGGAGACUGGAAUUCCUGGUGUAGCAGUGAAAUGCGUAGAUAUGUGGAGGAACACCGAUGGCGAAGGCAGCCCCCUGGGUUAACACUGACGCUCAUGCACGAAAGCGUGGGGAGCAAAUAGG
rnacentral:rRNA from 1 species